UACGUAGGGACCGAGCGUUGUCCGGAAUCAUUGGGCGUAAAGAGCGUGUAGGCGGCUUGUUAAGUCUUGCGUGAAAUCUCGGGGCUCAACCCCGAGCGGUCGUGAGAAACUGGCAGGCUAGAGUGCGGGAGAGGAGAGUGGAAUUCCUGGUGUAGCGGUGAAAUGCGCAGAUAUCAGGAAGAACACCCGUGGCGAAGGCGGCUCUCUGGAACGCAACUGACGCUGAGACGCGAAAAGCGUGGGG
rnacentral:rRNA from 1 species